UUUAUGGAGAGUUUGAUCCUGGCUCAGGACGAACGCUGGCGGCGUGCCUAAUACAUGCAAGUCGAGCGGAUCGAUGGGAGCUUGCUCCCUGAGAUCAGCGGCGGACGGGUGAGUAACACGUGGGUAACCUGCCUGUAAGACUGGGAUAACUCCGGGAAACCGGGGCUAAUACCGGAUAACACCUACCCCCGCAUGGGGGAAGGUUGAAAGGUGGCUUCGGCUAUCACUUACAGAUGGACCCGCGGCGCAUUAGCUA
rnacentral:rRNA from 1 species